GCUCAGUACGAACGCUGGCGGCGUGCCUAAUACAUGCAAGUCGAGCGGACCGAUGGGAGCUUGCUCCCUGAGAUCAGCGGCGGACGGGUGAGUAACACGUGGGUAACCUGCCUGUAAGACUGGGAUAACUCCGGGAAACCGGGGCUAAUACCGGAUAAUUCAGUACCUCGCAUGAGGAACUGUUGAACGGUGGCUUUUCGCUACCACUUACAGAUGGACCCGCGGCGCAUUAGCUAGUUGGUGAGGUAACGGCUCACCAAGGCAACGACGCGUAGCCGACCUGAGAGGGUGAUCGGACACACUGGGACUGAGACACGGCCCAGACUCCUACGGGAGGCAGCAGUAGGGAAUCUUCCGCAAUGGACGAAAGUCUGACGGAGCAACGCCGCGGGAGUGAAGAAGGUUUUCGGAUCGUAAAACUCUGUUGUUAGGGAAGAACAAGUGCCGUUCGAAUAGGGCGGCACCUUGACGGUACCUAACCAGAAAGCCACGGCUAACUACGUGCCAGCAACCGCGGUAAUACGUAGGUGGCAAGCGUUGUCCGGAAUUAUUGGGCGUAAAGCGCGCGCAGGUGGUCUCUUAAGUCUGAUGUGAAAGCCCACGGCUCAACCGUGGAGGGUCAUUGGAAACUGGGGAACUUGAGUGCAGAAGAGGACAGUGGAAUUCCAAGUGUAGCGGUGAAAUGCUUAGAUAUUUGGAGGAACACCAGUGGCGAAGGCGACUUACUGGUCUGUAACUGACACUGAGGCGCGAAAGCGUGGGGAGCAAACAGGAUUAGCUACCCUGGUAGUCCACGCCGUAAACGAUGAGUGCUACGUGUUAGAGGGUUUCCGCCCUUUAGUGCUGCAGCUAACGCACUAAGCACUCCGCCUGGGGAGUACGGUCGCAAGACUGAAACUCGAAGGAAUUGACGGGCUCCCGCACAAGCGGUGGAGCAUGUGGUUUAAUUCGAAGCAACGCGAAGAACCUUACCAGGUCUUGACAUCCUCUGACAACCCUAGAGAUAGGGCUUUCCCCUUCGGGGGACAGAGUGACAGGUGGUGCAUGGUUGUCGUCAGCUCGUGUCGUGAGAUGUUGGGUUUAGUCCCGCAACGAGCGCAACCCUUGAUCUUAGUUGCCAGCAUUCAGUUGGGCACUCUAAGAUGACUGCCGGUGACAAACCGGAGGAAGGUGGGGAUGACGUCAAAUCAUCAUGCCCCUUAUGACCUGGGCUACACCCGUGCUACAAUGGACGGUACAAAGGGCAGCGAGACCGCGAGGUUUAGCCAAUCCCAUAAAACCGUUCUCAGUUCGGAUUGCAGACUGCAACUCGCCUGCAUGAAGCUGGAAUCGCUAGUAAUCGCGGAUCAGCAUGCCGCGGUUGCAUACGUUCCCGGGCCUUGUACACACCGCCCGUCACACCACGAGAGUUUGUAACACCCGAAGUCGGUGAGGUAACC
rnacentral:rRNA from 1 species